rnacentral:tRNA from 1 species
UCUAAUAUGGCAGAAUAGUGCACUGGAUUUAAGCCCCACUUAUAAAGUUAACCUUUCUUUAGAA